rnacentral:rRNA from 1 species
UGGCGGACGGGUGAGUAAUGUCUGGGAAACUGCCUGAUGGAGGGGGAUAACUACUGGAAACGGUAGCUAAUACCGCAUAACGUCGCAAGACCAAAGAGGGGGACCUUCGGGCCUCUUGCCAGCGGAUGUGCCCAGAUGGGAUUAGCUAGUAGGUGGGGUAACGGCUCACCUAGGCGACGAUCCCUAGCUGGUCUGAGAGGAUGACCAGCCACACUGGAACUGAGACACGGUCCAG